AUGCUUACCUGGCAGGGGAGAUAUCAUGAUCAAGAAGGUGGUUCACCCAGGGUGAGGCUCAGUUAUUGCUGUCAGGCUGUGCUAAUCCCUGCGAAUUGGUCUGGGCCUGUACAAAGUGC
rnacentral:snRNA from 1 species